ACGAACGCUGGCGGCGUGCCUAAUACAUGCCAGUAGAACGCUGAAGGAGGAGCUUGCUUCUCUGGAUGAGUUGCGAACGGGUGAGUAACGCGUAGGUAACCUGCCUGGUAGCGGGGGAUAACUAUUGGAAACGAUAGCUAAUACCGCAUAAGAGUAGAUGUUGCAUGACAUUUGCUUAAAAGGUGCAAUUGCAUCACUACCAGAUGGACCUGCGUUGUAUUAGCUAGUUGGUGGGGUAACGGCUCACCAAGGCGACGAUACAUAGCCGACCUGAGAGGGUGAUCGGCCACACUGGGACUGAGACACGGCCCAGACUCCUACGGGAGGCAGCAGUAGGGAAUCUUCGGCAAUGGACGGAAGUCUGACCGAGCAACGCCGCGUGAGUGAAGAAGGUUUUCGGAUCGUAAUGCUCUGUUGUAAGAGAAGAACGAGUGUGAGAGUGGAAAGUGCACACUGUGACGGUAUCUUACCAGAAAGGGACGGCUAACUACGU
rnacentral:rRNA from 1 species